rnacentral:rRNA from 1 species
AUUGAACGCUGGCGGCAGGCCUAACACAUGCAAGUCGAACGAGUGGCGGACGGGUGAGUAAUGUCUGGGAAACUGCCUGAUGGAGGGGGAUAACUACUGGAAACGGUAGCUAAUACCGCAUACCAUCAGAUGUGCCCAGAUGGGUUUAGCUAGUUGGUGGGGUAUCGGCUCACCAAGGCGACGAUCCCGAGCUGGUCUGCGAGGAUGACCAGCAACACUGGAACUGAGACACGGUCCAGACUCCUACGGGAGGCAGCGGUGGGGAAUUUAGCACAAUGGGCGCAACCCUGAUGCAGCCAUGCCGCGUGUAUGAAGAAGGCCUGCGGGUGGUAAAGUACUUUCAGCGGGGAGGCGUUACCCGCAGAGGAAGCACCGGCUAACUCCGUGCCAGCAGCCGCGGUAAUAC